CAGUCGCCACGGUAAUACGGAGGGUGCAAGCGUUAAUCGGAAUUACUGGGCGUAAAGCGCACGCAGGCGGUCUGUCAAGUCAGAUGUGAAAUCCCCGGGCUUAACCUGGGAACUGCAUUUGAAACUGGCAGGCUAGAGUCUUGUAGAGGGGGGUAGAAUUCCAGGUGUAGCGGUGAAAUGCGUAGAGAUCUGGAGGAAUACCGGUGGCGAAGGCGGCCCCCUGGACAAAGACUGACGCUCAGGUGCGAAAGCGUGGGGAGCAAACAGGAUUAGAGACCCGAGUAGUCCCUGUCUCUUAUAC
rnacentral:rRNA from 1 species